rnacentral:rRNA from 1 species
GCGACUAUCUCAGGAGUCAGUCCGCGAGGGAUAAGCUUCGCGGUCAAAAGGGAAACAACCCAGAUCAUCGGCUAAGGUCCCGAAGCCAUGCUCAGUCACUAAGGAGGUUAGAUUGCUGAGACAGCCAGGAUGUUGGCUUAGAAGCAGCCACCAUUUAAAAAGUGCGUAACAGCUUACUGGUCGAGCAGUCUUGCGCCGAUAAUGAUCGGGAGUAAGCAUGGCACCGAAGCCGUGGGCACGACAAGUCUUCGGACGAGUUGUGCGGUAGGAGAGCGCUGUACGUCAGAUACAAGCCGUACCGUAAGGAGCGGUGUUGGGGCGUACAGGUGAUUAUGCCGGAAUGAGUAGACGAUAAAGCAGGUGAGAAUCCUGCUCGCCGAAAGCCUAAGGUUUCCUGGGGAAGGUAAUUCCGCCCAGGGUUAGCCGGUUCCUUAGUCGAGGCCGAAAGGCGUAGACGAUGGUUAGCAGGUUAAUAUUCCUGCGCCGCUUGUGUGGAGCGAUGGAGGGACGGCAUCCGGAUGGCGAUCAGACGAUUAGAAAUGUCUGUAGGGCAAGCUGAGACAGCGGGAUUGGAAAAUCCGCCCGCAUACGUCAAGGUUUGAACUCGAGCGGUUCGUCCGCGAAGUCGUUGGAAGGAUGUCCAAGAAAAUCUUCUAAGCGUUGAAGCACAGCGACCGUACUAAAACUGACACAGGUAGGCGAGACGAGAAGUCUAAGGCGCUCGAGGAAACGAUGGUUAAGGAACUCUGCAAAUUGACCCCGUAAGUUCGCGAUAAGGGGUGCCCUUGGGGGUGCAAGCUCUUGAGGGCCACAGUAAAUCGGCACUAGCGACUGUUUAUCAAAAACACAGGUCUCUGCUAACUCGCAAGAGGAUGUAUAGAGACUGACGCCUGCCCGGUGCCGGUAGGUUAAGGAAGAGGGUUAGCGAAAGCGAAGCUCGCGACCGAAGCCCCGGUAAACGGCGGCCGUAACUAUGACGGUCCUAAGGUAGCGAAGUUCCUUGUCGGGUAAGUUCCGACCUGCAUGAAUGGCGUAACGACUGGUGCACUGUCUCAACCAUCGACUCGGUGAAAUUGUAGUUCGGGUGAAGAUGCCCGGUACCCGCGGUUAGACGGAAAGACCCCGUGAACCUUUACUGUAGGCUGAUAUUGGUCUGAGGUAUGUCUUGUGUAGGAUAGGUGGGAGGCUGUGAAGCGGGAGCGCCAGCUCUCGCAGAGCCAACGUUGAAAUACCACCCUGGGUAUGCUUUAGCUCUAACCUUGUUCCGUGAAUCCGGACAAGGGACAGUUUCAGUUGGGCAGUUUGACUGGGGCGGUCUCCUCCAAAAAAGUAACGGAGGAGUGCAAAGGUGCACUCAGCCUGGUUGGCAAUCAGGCACAGAGCGUAAAGGUAGAAGUGCGCUUGACUGCGAGACUUAUCAGUCGAGCAGAUGCGAAAGCAGGCCUUAGUGAUCCUGUGGUUCCGAAUGGAAGGGCCAUAGCUCAUCAGAUAAAAGGUACUCCGGGGAUAACAGGCUUAUCGCGUCCGAGCGUCCACAGCGGCGACGCGGUUUGGCACCUCGAUGUCGGCUCAUCACAUCCUGGGGGUGAAGAAGCUCCCAAGGGUUUGGCUGUUCGCCAAUGAAAGUGGUACGUGAGCUGGGUUCAGACCGUCGUGAGACAGGUCGGUCCCUAUCUGCCGUGGGCGUACGAAACUUGAGGGGAUUCUUCUUUAGUACGAGAGGAUUUAGAAGGACGUAGCUCUGGUGUCCCAGUUGUCACGCUAGUGGCAUGGCUGGAUAGCUAACUACGGAACGGAUAAACGCUGAAAGCAUCUAAGCGUGAAGCCUGCCCCAAGAUCAGGUUUCGUAAGUGCGAUAGCACGAAAGUCCCCUGGAAGACUACCAGGUUGAUAGGCCGGAUGUGUAAGCGCGGUAACGCGUUCAGCUAACCGGUACUAAUGGACGAAAGCUUGACCA